AUUGAACGCUGGCGGGAGGCCUAACACAUGCAAGUCGAGCGGAUGAAGGGAGCUUGCUCCUGGAUUCAGCGGCGGACGGGUGAGUAAUGCCUAGGAAUCUGCCUGGUAGUGGGGGAUAACGUCCGGAAACGGGCGCUAAUACCGCAUACGUCCUGAGGGAGAAAGUGGGGGAUCUUCGGACCUCACGCUAUCAGAUGAGCCUAGGUCGGAUCAGCUAGUUGGUGGGGUAAAGGCCUACCAAGGCGACGAUCCGUAACUGGUCUGAGAGGAUGAUCAGUCACACUGGAACUGAGACACGGUCCAGACUCCUACGGGAGGCAGCAGUGGGGAAUAUUGGACAAUGGGCGAAAGCCUGAUCCAGCCAUGCCGCGUGUGUGAAGAAGGUCUUCGGAUUGUAAAGCACUUUAAGUUGGGAGGAAGGGCAGUAAGUUAAUACCUUGCUGUUUUGACGUUACCAACAGAAUAAGCACCGGCUAACUUCGUG
rnacentral:rRNA from 1 species